ACCACAGGCCAUAGCUCAGUGGUAGAGAAACUGCCUUGCAUGCAGAAGGUUCCAGGUUCAAUCCCUAAUCUCCGGGUA